AUACGGAGGGUGCAAGCGUUGCUCGGAAUCACUGGGCGUAAAGCGCACGCAGGCGGCUAGAUAAGUCGGGUGUGAAAGCCCGGGGCUCAACCCCGGAACUGCAUUCGAAACUGUCUAGCUUGAGUACGGGAGAGGGAAGCGGAAUUCCUGGUGUAGAGGUGAAAUUCGUAGAUAUCAGGAGGAACACCAGCGGCGAAAGCGGCUUCCUGGCCCGAUACUGACGCUCAUGUGCGAAAGCGUGGGGAGCAAACAGGAUUAGAUACCCUGGUAGUCCACGCCGUAAACGAUGAGUGCUAGCUGCUGGAAAUGUCUACCGUUUCAGUGGCGAAGUUAACGCAUUAAGCACUCCGCCUGGGGAGUACGGCCGCAAGGCUAAA
rnacentral:rRNA from 1 species